rnacentral:rRNA from 1 species
AACGUAGGAGGCGAGCGUUAUCCGGAUUCACUGGGCGUAAAGCGCAUGUAGGCGGUUGCACAAGUCCGUUGUUAAAGCCCCUGGCUCAACUGGGGGAGGUCAAUGGAGACUGUGCGACUUGAGGGCAAUAGAGGCACGUGGAACUCCCGGUGUAGCGGUGGAAUGCGUAGAGAUCGGGAAGAACACCAGUGGCGAAGGCGACGUGCUGGGUUGCACCUGACGCUGAGAUGCAAAAGUGUGGGGAGCAAACGGG